rnacentral:rRNA from 1 species
UGGGGAAUUUUGGACAAUGGGCGCAAGCCUGAUCCAGCAAUGCCGCGUGCAGGAUGAAGGCCUUCGGGUUGUAAACCGCUUUUGUACGGAGCGAAAAGGUCUGCCCUAAUACGGUGGGCUCAUGACGGUACCGUAAGAAUAAGCACCGGCUAACUACGUGCCAGCAGCCGCGGUAAUACGUAGGGUGCGAGCGUUAAUCGGGGUUACUGGGCGUAAAGCGUGCGCAGGCGGUUAUAUAAGACAGGUGUGAAAUCCCCGGGCUCAACCUGGGACCUGCAUUUGUGACUGUGUCGCUAGAGUACGGUAGAGGGGGAUGAAAUUCCGCGUGUAGCAGUGAAAUGCGUAGAUAUGCGGAGGAACACCGAUGGAGAAGGCAAUCCCCUGGACCUGUACUGCCGCUCAUGCACGAAAGCGUGGGGAGCAAACA